GACGAACGCUGGCGGCGUGCUUAACACAUGCAAGUCGAACGGAAAGGCCCUGCUUUUGUGGGGUGCUCGAGUGGCGAACGGGUGAGUAACACGUGAGUAACCUGCCCUUGACUUUGGGAUAACUUCAGGAAACUGGGGCUAAUACCGGAUAGGAGCUCCUGCUGCAUGGUGGGGGUUGGAAAGUUUCGGCGGUUGGGGAUGGACUCGCGGCUUAUCAGCUUGUUGGUGGGGUAGUGGCUUACCAAGGCUUUGACGGGUAGCCGGCCUGAGAGGGUGGCCGGCCACAUUGGGACUGAGAUACGGCCCAGACUUCUACGGGAGGCAGCAGUGGGGAAUAUUGCACAAUGGGCGGAAGCCUGAUGCAGCAACGCCGCGUGCGGGAUGACGGCCUUCGGGUUGUAAACCGCUUUCGCCUGUGACGAAGCGUGAGUGACGGUAAUGGGUAAAGAAGCACCGGCUAACUACGUG
rnacentral:rRNA from 1 species